UACGUAGGGUGCAAGCGUUGCCCGGAUUUAUUGGGCGUAAAGAGCUCGUAGGCGGCUUGGCAAGUCGGGUGUGAAACCUCCAGCUCAACCUGGAGACGCCACUCGAUACUGCCAUGGCUAGAGUCCGGUAGGGGACCACGGAAUUCCUGGUGUAGCGGUGAAAUGCGCAGAUAUCAGGAGGAACACCGGUGGCGAAGGCGGCAUCCUGGACCAAUUCUGACGCUGAGGAGCGAAAGCUAGGGGAGCAAACGGG
rnacentral:rRNA from 1 species